rnacentral:rRNA from 1 species
CUACGGGGGGCAGCAGUAGGGAAUCUUCCACAAUGGGCGAAAGCCUGAUGGAGCAACGCCGCGUGAGUGAAGAAGGUUUUCGGAUCGUAAAACUCUGUUGUAAGGGAAGAACAAGUACAGUAGUAACUGGCUGUACCUUGACGGUACCUUAUUAGAAAGCCACGGCUAACUACGUGCCAGCAGCCGCGGUAAUACGUAGGUGGCAAGCGUUGUCCGGAAUUAUUGGGCGUAAAGCGCGCGCAGGCGGUCCUUUAAGUCUGAUGUGAAAGCCCACGGCUCAACCGUGGAGGGUCAUUGGGAACUGGGGGACUUGAGUGCAGAAGAGGAAAGUGGAAUUCCAAGUGUAGCGGUGAAAUGCGUAGAGAUUUGGAGGAACACCAGUGGCGAAGGCGACUUUCUGGUCUGUAACUGACGCUGAGGCGCGAAAGCGUGGGGAGCAAACAGGAUUAGAUACCCUUGUAGUC